rnacentral:lncRNA from 1 species
CACAAUGUAGUCUUUUAAGAGUCAAGCUUAGGGGGAGAUUUUCUCUCUUAUUAGUUUUAUGUUUUUUUAAUAUUAGGUUUUAUAUGUAGGCCAAUUGGUCAAAUCAUAUAAUAAUUAUGUUUUUAGUAUUGUUUUCUUUGUCAUCUGAAUUAUCACCAUGAUAGUUUGCAACUAAUAGUUUUUGCAUGACGCUCUCUCGCUUUCGAACCCAACAAGUGGUAUCAGAGCUUAUGAUUCAAUGGUCCGAUGGUGUGGUGAGACGAGAUUAAACAGGUUCAAAGCGGUUUUAAAAUCAAGCUGCAACAAUUUGGAUGAUAAUGAAGAUUUUUGUAGAACUACAUGUGGAGAACAAGUUUCAACCAUAUUUUCAAUACACCUGCUGCUGCAUCUUUAAAAAUGAAAAUAAAAUAUUACUUUUAAAUCAAUUUUUAACCAUGAUAUUUUAAACCUUAUAAUUUUUAACCAUGGCAAGCAGCAGUUAUGAAGAUUAUAUCAAGAACGAAGUUCAUGCACGUGAUAUGAAGAGAAGACGGAUCAAGUGAAGAAAAUCAAGCAAAAAAGGGGAGAUUUAUUAGGGUUUUUGCCCUGAUUUUCUUACUAUAUUUAAGUUUUAUUUUUUCUUAGAAGGAAAAUAAAAGUUACCAUAAUUACUUUUACAUUUCCUGAAAGGAAAAAAUAUAAUUCUUUUUCAUAUUUGGCUAACCUCUUUCUUGGAGGAAAGGUUUUGGACAUCUAUAAAUAGAAGACCCCCUUCUCAUACCAUAACACAAGAGCAUCCACAAUGUAGUCUUUUAAGAGUCACGC